rnacentral:lncRNA from 1 species
UCCAGAAGGCUUCACAGCAAGCAGGAGAAGUCUUGCUCCUUGUCACUGUGAUGAGAGAUACAGGAAGCAGCUAUCCUGUUGCAUUAGAGCUUUUUGAAAAAGUUUUAAGUUCCCCAUCAGCUUUUAACAUCAAUCAACAAAUUCAUUCUUUCCCAGAUGAAUAAUGAACCCCUGAUCACUGUCAGGGUAAGUACCUAGAACAGGUAAAUUAAAAUGGUAACACAAUUAACCUAAUUUUUUCCAUGUGUAUAGCUCUAUCAGUUCUGCCCUAGGGCAGGAGCUCAAGCUGUCUGAUAUCCACUUGUUAUGUAAGGAGACCCUUCCAGACCCUGGCCUUCCCUACCUGUGUGUGUGACAGCUCUGUGUGUUAAGCUUGUAAUUCAGAAAGAUGAUCCCUUUUUUUCCAUACAGCCAGAAUUAUGGGCUUGACAUCACAAUGAAGAUAAUAAGAACUGACUGUCCUAAAUUGGACUUGUAUUCUUAGUGCUUUUUUGGCAACAUCAUUCCCAUCCCACAGAAAGAGACUACAUUCCAUUUCUGGUUACUCAGCGUCAGUAUUGGGGAGGAUGUGUCCCAAGUGCAGCGGCCUCCCAGACAUCUACAGUGAUGCAAUGAUGAACACAACUGUCUGGACACUCUCUCCCCAGUAAUCCCUGUGCCCUG